rnacentral:rRNA from 1 species
UGGCAUCACAUUGCUAUUAUAGCUUUCGGCGCUUGGGGAUGGGCCUGCGGCGGAUUAGGUAGUUGGUGGGGUAAGGCCUACCAAGCCGAUGAUCCUAGGGGGCGUGAGAGCGUGGCCCCCCACAUUGGCACUGAGACACGGGCCAAACUCCUACGGGAGGCAGCAGUGAGGAAUAUUGCACAAUGGGCGCAAGCCUGAUGCAGCAACGCCGCGUGAGGGACGAAGGCCUUCGGGUUGUAAACCUCUUUUCUGAGGGACGAGCAAGGACGGUACCUCAGGAAUAAGUCUCGGCUAACUACGUG